rnacentral:rRNA from 1 species
GAUGAACGCUGGCGGCGUGCCUAAUACAUGCGAGUCGAGCGAACGGACGAGAAGCUUGCUUCUCUGAUGUUAGCGGCGGACGGGUGAGUAACACGUGGAUAACCUACCUAUAAGACUGGGAUAACUUCGGGAAACCAGAGCUAAUACCGGAUAAUAUUUUGAACCGCAUGGUUCAAAAGUGAAAGACGGUCUUGCUGUCACUUAUAGAUGGAUCCGCGCUGCAUUAGCUAGUUGGUAAGGUAACGGCUUACCAAGGCAACGAUGCAUAGCCGACCUGAGAGGGUGAUCGGCCACACUGGAACUGAGACACGGUCCAGACUCCUACGGGAGGCAGCAGUAGGGAAUCUUCCGCAAUGGGCGAAAGCCUGACGGAGCAACGCCGCGUGAGUGAUGAAGGUCUUCGGAUCGUAAAACUCUGUUAUUAGGGAAGAACAUAUGUGUAAGUAACUGUGCACAUCUUGACGGUACCUAAUCAGAAAGCCACGGCUAACUACGUG